rnacentral:miRNA from 1 species
UCAGCUGCCUCUUGCCAUCACAG